rnacentral:snRNA from 1 species
AUGCUUGCUUCGGCAGCACAUAUACUAAAAUUAAAACGAUACAGAGAAGAUUAGCAUGGCCCCUGUGCAACGAUGACAUGCAAAUUGUGAAGUGUUCCAAAUUUUU